rnacentral:rRNA from 1 species
AGAGCGAACGCUGGCGGCAGGCCUAAUACAUGCAAGUCGAACGGAUCCUUCGGGAUUAGUGGCGGACGGGUGAGUAACACGUGGGAACGUACCCUUUGGUUCGGAACAACUCAGGGAAACUUGAGCUAAUACCGAAUGUGCCCUUCGGGGAAAAGAUUUAUCGCCAUUGGAGCGGCCCGCGUCUGAUUAGCUAGUUGGUAGGGUAAAGGCCUACCAAGGCUACGAUCAGUAGCUGGUCUGAGAGGAUGAUCAGCCACACUGGGACUGAGACACGGCCCAGACUCCUACGGGAGGCAGCAGUAGGGAAUCUUGCGCAAUGGGCGAAAGCCUGACGCAGCCAUGCCGCGUGAAUGAUGAAGGUCUUAGGAUUGUAAAAUUCUUUCGAGCGGGGACGAUAAUGACGGUACCCGCAGAAGAAGCCCCGGCUAACUCGCGCCAGCAGCCGAC